rnacentral:rRNA from 1 species
AACGAACGCUGGCGGCGUGCUUAACACAUGCAAGUCGAACGUGAAAGUGGCUUCGGCCAUGAGUAAAGUGGCAGACGGGUGAGUAACACGUGGGUAACCUACCCCUUGGCGGGGGAUAACCAUUCGAAAGGAUGGCUAAUACCGCAUAAGACCACGUCCUUCCGGGGAUGGGGUAAAAGACGCAAGUCACCGAGGGAGGGGCCCGCGGCCGAUUCGCUAGUUGGUGAGGUAAUGGCUCACCAAGGCGACGAUCGGUAGCUGGUCUGAGAGGAUGAUCAGCCACACUGGUACUUAGACACGGACCAGACUCCUACGGGGGGCAGCAGUGGGGAAUAUAGCGCAAUGGACGAAAGUCUGACGCAGCAACGCCGCGUGGGUGAAGAAGGCCUUCGGGUCGUAAAGCCCUGUCAGGUGGGAAGAAACCUGCGUAAGCAGCUUACGGUACCACCAAAGGAAGCACCGGCUAACUCCGUGCCAGCCGCCGCGGUAACAC